AGGAUAAACGCUGGCGGCGUGCCUAACACAUGCAAGUCGAACGCGCUUUCGGGCUUCGGUGCGAGAGCGAGUGGCGGACGGGUGAGUAACACAUGGGUACCUGCCUUUCAGUGAGGGAUACCGGCGAGAAAUCGCCGACAAUACCGCAUGGGCUUGUGGGAACACAAGCAAAGUGGCGCAAGCCACGCUGGAAGAUGGGCCUGUGGCCGAUUAGCUAGUUGGGGGGGUAACGGCCUCCCAAGGCGACGAUCGGUAGCUGGUCUGAGAGGACGAUCAGCCACACUGGGAUUGAGAACGGCCCAGACUCCUACGGGGGGCAGCAGUGAGGAAUUUUCCGCAAUGGACGAAAGUCUGACGGAGCAACGCCGCGUGCAGGAGGAAGGUUUCGGAUCGUAAACUGCUUUCUCGGGGACGAGCAAGGACGGUACCCGAGGAAGAAGCCCGGCUAACUACGCGCCAGCAGCCGC
rnacentral:rRNA from 1 species